rnacentral:rRNA from 1 species
ACACCGGCGGCCCGAGUGGUGAUCGUGAUUAUUGGGUCUAAAGGGUCCGUAGCCGGUUUGGUCAGUCCUCCGGGAAAUCUGAUAGCUCAACUAUUAGGCUUUCGGGGGAUACUGCCAGACUUGGAACCGGGAGAGGUAAGAGGUACUACAGGGGUAGGAGUGAAAUCUUGUAAUCCCUGUGGGACCACCUGUGGCGAAGGCGUCUUACCAGAACGGGUUCGACGGUGAGGGACGAAAGCUGGGGGCACGAACCGGAUUAGAUACCCGGGUAGUCCCAGCCGUAAACGAUGCUCGCUAGGUGUCAGGCAUGGCGCGACCGUGUCUGGUGCCGCAGGGAAGACGUGAAGCGAGCCACCUGGGAAGUACGGCCGCAAGGCUGAAACUCAAAGGAAUUGGCGGGG